rnacentral:rRNA from 1 species
UACGAAGGGUGCAAGCGUUAAUCGGAAUUACUGGGCGUAAAGGGUGCGUAGGCGGUUCGUUAAGUCUGUUGUGAAAUCCCCGGGCUCAACCUGGGAAUGGCAAUGGAUACUGGCGAGCUAGAGUGUGAUAGAGGAUGGUGGAAUUCCCGGUGUAGCGGUGAAAUGCGUAGAUAUCGUAAGGAAGACCAGUGGCGAAGGCGGGUCUCUGGACAGUUCCUGACGCUGAGGCACGAAGGUCAGGGGAGCAAACGGG